rnacentral:rRNA from 1 species
UACGAAGGGGGCUAGCGUUGUUCGGAAUUACUGGGCGUAAAGCGCGCGCAGGCGGUCUUCCAAGUCAGUGGUGAAAGCCCGGAGCUCAACUCCGGAAUUGCCAUUGAAACUGUUGGACUUGAGGAUGAGAGAGGUGAGUGGAAUUCCCAGUGUAGAGGUGAAAUUCGUAGAUAUUCGGAAGAACACCAGUGGCGAAGGCGACUUACUGGACACGUAUUGACGCUGAGGUGCGAAAGCGUGGGGAGCAAACAGG